CCUACGGGAGGCAGCAGUAAGGAAUAUUGCUCAAUGGGGGAAACUCUGAAGCAGCAACGCCGCGUGCAGGAUGAAGGUUUUCGGAUUGUUAAAUCCUUUUUUUAGCAGAGUUAAUGCCGGUAUCUAACGCAUACGCACCGUCUAACUCCGUGCCAGCAGCCGCGGUAAUGCGGCGGGUGCAAGCGUGACGCGGAAUAACUGGGCGUAAAGGGCGCGUAGGCGGGUUAGCAAGUCAGAUGUGAAAUCCUAAGGCUUAACCAUAGAACUGCAUUUGAAACUGUUAUUCUAGAGUAUGGUAGAGGUAGGUGGAAUGCUUGGUGUAGGGGUAAAAUGCGUAGAGAUC
rnacentral:rRNA from 1 species